ACGUCAAAUGUUCCUUUGGCACUGGCAAGUGUCUCCUCAGAACACUAAAAAUGGCAACAGUGGCUCCCUUGUCGUCAUGAGGAUAUAUCAACUCUAGGACCCCAGAGCUGGAUGCAGCAGUCCGAGUGGUGUCCUACAAGAUUGGGGUAGAGGGGCAAAUCACUUCUCUCAGUGAGAACAGAUUGAGAAAAUUGGGAUUGCUCAGCCUGGAAAAGAGGAAGUUUUGGGGUGACCUAAUUGAUGCCUUCCACCAACUGAAAGGAACUUAUAGGACUGAUGGGUCUAAUUGAAAGAAAUUGGAUUCCUUGGAUUCUUUGCAGAAGGUGGUUGCUCUGAGUACAUGCUUCAAGACAUUGACAUUUUCCUGUAUUAUGUUCAGGAUGGGAAUCACUGCCUAAGU